ACGUAGGUAAUGUGCCUUUGGGUGGGGAAUAACUUAGGGAAACUUAAGCUAAUACCGCAUAAUGCAGCGGCUCCUUCGGGAGACAGUUGUUAAAGAUUUAUCGCCUAAAGAGCAGCCUGCGGCAGAUUAGCUAGUUGGUAAGGUAACGGCUUACCAAGGCGACGAUCUGUAUCCGACCUGAGAGGGUGGUCGGACACACUGACACUGAAUAACGGGUCAGACUCCUACGGGAGGCAGCAGUCGGGAAUUUUGGGCAAUGGGCGAAAGCCUGACCCAGCAACGCCGCGUGAAGGAUGAAGU
rnacentral:rRNA from 1 species